CGUUGUGUUAUAUACGGUACACAUCAGGGAUUCAUCGCGUUUUUUAAGAAUAUUUAAACAAAAAAUUAAAAUUUAGACAACAUGAAAUAUAUUUCAUUGGAUUAUUUAAAGCUUGGAAUAUUUUAAUUCAUUAAAUUCUAAUAAAAAAGCAACAAAUUAAAUGACUUCUAUUGGUCUGUUGAAUCCUCUGAGAGUCUAAUGCGAUUUAGACAGUUAGAAAUGGCGGUAAUAUUUUGAAGGCCUACUAAAUCUACUAAAUGGCUUAAUAAAGUCAGAAAUUAAGGCCCCUAAACAUUGAAGACUAGAUUCAGAGAUUGCUUGGUGUUGCGGAAAAACUAUGGUAGAAGCAUCGACACAGCUGAUGGAACAAUGAACUGUCAAACCAAUUUUGGACUUGGAAAUGUUGAAUGAAAAAUUUUUUAAAUUUGUAAAAAUUGUCGAAAAACGCGAAUAAUAAUAACUUCCGAAUGACGUCGAAUAAGCAAACAAAUAAAAAUCUACUUAUAUUUGAAAAAAAAAAAAACAUUUCCAUUUUUUGGCAUAUGAAAGCUCUCAAGCGUUGAUGCAUUACCUGUAUUCUUCCGCCAUGGGAAAAGUGUAGAACACAAAAUACAGGGUGAGAUAAAGAAACUGCAACAAAGUCAGAAGACAUAAUUUUUACAUUUUUUUUUACAUUUCAUCGAAUGAAAGCAAAAAAUGUCGGAAAUAGCAUUAAAUUUUGAGAACUACACUUAGUUUGAGAAAAUAUAUUAACUAUCAUAAGCCUUGGGAAAGGGGAUAAUUAAAAAACAUGUAAUUAAUUUUUCGCUUACAGAAGAAGCCUAUAAACAACUUUCUAAACGCAACACAUGCCCAAAACAGAUUUGAAUCUGUUACAUGCUUUCGGUCGCAGUUAACUGAUUUCCCUGCAUAUUUUUUAAUUGGUAAAAGUAAACCAAAUAACGCUCACCCCAUAUCAAACAUAUUAAUUUUGACAUUAUUCUUUAUUAAGUUUAAUUCUCUUGGCUAUAAUUUAGUUAAUAUUAAAAAAGCCGUUUCUUUUUACAUUUAUUUAUUUUUUUUUUUCAAUUUUUGUCGUUUAAGGACACAAAAUAUAGUUUUUUUCUUGGUGACUUACAACAAUGUUCGAUUUUUUAUAUUAAAAUGUUUUACUAUGGCAGUAUAAAAUGUUAUUUUUAAUUGGACAAAUUGUUACCUAAACUCCGAAAAAAACUAUAUGAAAAUAAAUGCCUUGUAUUUUAUGACGACUGAAGAUGGAGAAAAAAUCAAAAAUGCA